rnacentral:rRNA from 1 species
UGCAGUCGAGCGGAUGAGGGAGCUUGCUCCUGGAUUCAGCGGCGGACGGGUGAGUAAUGCCUAGGAAUCUGCCUGGUAGUGGGGGAUAACGUCCGGAAACGGGCGCUAAUACCGCAUACGUCCUGAGGGGGAAAGUGGGGGAUCUUCGGACCUCACGCUAUCAGAUGAGCCUAGGUCGGAUUAGCUAGUUGGUGGGGUAAAGGCCUACCAAGGCGACGAUCCGUAACUGGUCUGAGAGGAUGAUCAGUCACACUGGAACUGAGACACGGUCCAGACUCCUACGGGAGGCAGCAGUGGGGAAUAUUGGACAAUGGGCGAAAGCCUGAUCCAGCCAUGCCGCGUGUGUGAAGAAGGUCUUCGGAUUGUAAAGCACUUUAAGUUGGGAGGAAGGGCAGUAAGUUAAUACCUUGCUGUUUUGACGUUACCAACAGAAUAAGCACCGGCUAACUUCGUGCCAGCAGCCGCGGUAAUACGAAGGGUGCAAGCGUUAAUCGGAAUUACUGGGCGUAAAGCGCGCGUAGGUGGUUCAGCAAGUUGGAUGUGAAAUCCCCGGUUCAACCUGGAACUGCAUCCUAACUACUGAGCUAGAGUACGGUAGAGGGUGAUGUACUUACUGUGUAGCGUGAAUGCGUAGAUAUAUGAUG